rnacentral:rRNA from 1 species
AGAGUUUGAUCUUGGCUCAGAAUGAACGCUGGCGGCGUGCUUAACACAUGCAAGUCGAACGAGAAAUCUUUAGCUUGCUAAAGAGAGUACAGUGGCGCACGGGUGAGUAACGCGUGGGUAAUCUACCCUUGAGUCGGGGAUAACAUUGCGAAAGCGAUGCUAAUACCCGAUAACAUCCUGGAUGCUUCGGCAUUUGGGAUCAAAGAUGGCCUCUUCAUGAAAGCUAUUGAUUGAGGAUGAGCCCGCGUACCAUUAGCUUGUUGGUGGGGUAAAGGCCUACCAAGGCGAUGAUGGUUAGCUGGUCUGAGAGGAUGAUCAGCCACACUGGAACUGACACACGGUCCAGACUCCUACGGGAGGCAGCAGUGAGGAAUUUUGCGCAAUGGGGGCAACCCUGACGCAGCAACGCCGCGUGAGUGAUGAAGGCCCUUGGGUCGUAAAGCUCUGUCAAGUGGAAAGAAAUUACGGAUGGUUAAUACCCAUUUGUAUUGACGGUACCACUGAAGGAAGCACCGGCUAACUCCGUGCCAGCAGCGCGCAUACGGGGGUGCAAGCGUUAUUCGGAAUUAUUGGCGUAAGGCCGUAGCGCUUUGCAGUCAGAUGUGAAUCCGGGCUACCCGAAUUCUUGAAUGCAGGCUGAUAUG